rnacentral:ncRNA from 1 species
AAGUAGGGGAGCUUGAUUAAGUCAGGCUGAGAGGGCGAACGUAAUAUCGCCGACCCUUGCGAACCUGAUCUGGAUAAUGCCAGCGAAGGGAAAAGGCUUU